GAGAGAUGGUUGAGUGGUCGAAGGCACCGCAUUGGAAAUGCGGCGUACCGCAAGGUACCGAGGGUUCGAAUCCCUCUCUCUCC
rnacentral:tRNA from 1 species